AUGACAUCUAUUUGUGUGGCAAUAAAGUUUUUGUUGAGAUCAAGUGUGUGCGCUGUUGUGUUAUUCUAAUAAUUAGUAUCAGAGCAAGGAGAGAUUCACCACGAUCUGUGAAGAUGGAAAGUUCAAAGACUGGAAUUGAAAAGUUUGAU